ACCGGCCUUCAAUCUCGCUAGACAUAAGUGGAGACAAAAUGUGCAGCUUGUUGUCGUCCAAAACUAUCUUAAGAGAACUGGGCGUGAAGAGUGGGCAAAACAGUUUCGCGAGGCUGCAAAGAGAGGAGAUGAUUCUGGAAUGCUCAAUGUUAUGUCAAACGACGGUGAGGAGGUUGUAACAGCUUUAGGAAGUGAAGUUGACCGGUUAGAGAAAGAGAUCCAAGAACUUGUUCCUGGAAUCCGGCACGUUGACAUCGAAGAACACAUUCCCAUAGACCAAUCUCUAUGAUCUGUUACUUUCUUCCAGAGGUCUGCGUUGUCGAUACAUUCUCUUGGCCUUAAGAAAUGGAAACCACAAGUCUGGCAGUCUUGGUGAAAUAGAAAAAAAAGUUGUGUCAAGUUUGUGUCUUUGUGAUUGGGAAAUAUGUGAUGAUGAAUUCUCCUGUAUCUUGUUUUGAUGUUAGAAACUUUCAUGUGUGACUUUUAAAUCCUAUGGACAACAAAAAGCUUG